AUAAUGUUUUAUAUUACUCCUUCCUGUUUCAGUCGCACCCUUUACCCAGCAAACAAUGUAUGGAUGGUUUGACUUCUGUGAAAGGAUUAGUCCACAUGUCUCCGGUUUACUCCAGCUCAAUACCCAGCCCCAGUCACUACAUUAAUAAUGGCCAGAGAUUUAAGGGGCCUCCACAUACCUAUUGUUUAGAGUGUAACAUUGUGCCUAUCCCCAGAGGACAUCAUCCUCCAUAUGGUUGUAACAGCUUGCGGAGGCGGCGAAGGGACACUGCUCCCAUGAGUCUCAGCAGAUAGUACCAACCAUUUCUCCAAAUAAUGUGGGCCACAGUCUUUUGGUUCCAUAUAUCAAAGGUAACCCUUCUGCUUAAGAUGUACAACAUCUGAAACGCACUUUGAUUUUUGUUUUGCCCAGUGCUUUAUCUGUGACCGCACAUUUGGAUGUGCCUGUUUUCAUUUGUGCAUUUUUCUACUUCCUCUGUUUUGUUGUCUUUUAAACUUUUGUUUGUAUGACAAUGUCUAAUACCUUUUUUGUUUAUUGAUAUUCUUUGUUUACUAUUACGUUUAGUUAGUUGUGCAUCUCUAAUUGUUUUCAUAAUAUUUUUGAUAAGUCUUGUCACAGCAUCGCUAGGCUGUGAUUGUUUUUGUACUGUAAAUCUUUAUGUACCAUCUGUGCAAUAUGGCGCUUUUUUAAUUUUAGUUAAAUUUUAAUUUUUUUUUAAAAAUUGAAUGUAAGUUGACAUUAUACUAUACAAUAUGGAUUACUUUGUAUGUGCGUAGUAUUUUAUCAUGUUCAAAUCCAUAUCACAACCAGUUUUAUUGUUGGGAUUUUGGUUUUGUGCAUGUUGAUCUUGUAUGUACUGCAAACUACUUACCCAUCUGCUGGCAGUUCAGACAAGCACUUAAUUUUGUGCUGACAAAUGGGUUAGUGCUUUAAUCGUUUGCUCAGUAUCAAAAUCAUCUCCCCUUUUUCAGAUGUGUGUUUUCCAUCCAUAUUACGUCUAUUUUAUUUAACACUUUAAAAGUAUCCGUUGGAUGACUUGAAUAUGCACUGUUUUAAGUUAACCAAUUAGUAUUCUUUGUUUGCACAUGUGAUCUCCUGAUUAAGGACAUACUAUUUUUACUAGUUGCAGCAAUGCUCUCCUUAAUCAGUUACAUAUUCACUUGCUUUUGAUGCAUUUUCUCCACCCACCCUCAGAUGCAUGUAAUGGUCUAAAUGUUGUCGUCUUGGACUUCCUAUUUUGCCACCAGAUGGUGACCUUGCAUCCAACUUUUUAAAAUUUAAUUUAAUUUUAUAUAAAUUGUGCUAUAGUUAACCAUGAACAAAACAUUUGAGAAACAUUUCACACUACAUAUUUAUGUUCCAAAAUACCUUUUGACGAGAUUUGGCACUUCAUACCUCUGAUUCAUAGACUCCAUUUUGACCAUUGUCAGUAUGAUCGCAAAGCCAGUUCUCGUCUGACUCUUAACUCUACCUGAUGAACGGGGAACACUGAAGGUUUGAACACCAGAGAGGUUUGUUUCAUGUGUCUUGAACGAGGAGAGUUUUGUGCCAAUACAGUGAUUUAGUUCCAGAAAUCAAUUACUGAAUGCUCUAUAAAGUCUUUUAACCUGCAUGUAGGUGCUGUUUGAAUGUAGUGUAUGAAGUCUUAAGUUUAAGACUUUUCUGAUAUACGUUUUGUACUCCAAAUAUUUUUUUUAAUAAACAUCUUAAAUUGCUGCUAUCACUUUUGUCUUUAUUUUUUCUUAAACUUGUGUACUAUAU
rnacentral:lncRNA from 1 species